rnacentral:rRNA from 1 species
GACGAACGCUGGCGGCGCGCUUAACACAUGCAAGUCGAGCGAUGAAAUCUUAACAGAACCCUUCGGGGUGAAGAUAAGACGGAUUAGCGGCGGACGGGUGAGUAACACGUGAGUAACCUGCCUUUUACACAGGGAUAGCCUCAGGAAACCGGGAUUAAAACCUGAUGAAACUAUCAAAUCACAUGAUUAAGAAAGUUAAAACUCCGGUGGUAAAAGAUGGACUCGCGUCCCAUUAGCUAGUUGGUGAAGGUAACGGCCCACCAAGGCAACGAUGGGUAGCCGGCCUGAGAGGGUGAACGGCCACAUUGGAACUGAGAAACGGUCCAAACUCCUACGGGAGGCAGCAGUGGGGAAUAUUGCACAAUGGGGGGAAACCCUGAUGCAGCGACGCCGCGUGAGCGAAGAAGGCCUUCGGGUCGUAAAGCUCUUUUAUAUGGGAAGAUAAUGACGGUACCAUAAGAAAAAGCCCCGGCUAACUACGUG